GAUGAACGCUGGCGGCGUGCCUAAUACAUGCAAGUCGAGCGAACAGACGAGGAGCUUGCUCCUCUGACGUUAGCGGCGGACGGGUGAGUAACACGUGGAUAACCUACCUAUAAGACUGGGAUAACUUCGGGAAACCGGAGCUAAUACCGGAUAAUAUAUUGAACCGCAUGGUUCAAUAGUGAAAGACGGUUUUGCUGUCACUUAUAGAUGGAUCCGCGCCGCAUUAGCUAGUUGGUAAGGUAACGGCUUACCAAGGCAACGAUGCGUAGCCGACCUGAGAGGGUGAUCGGCAACACUGGAACUGAGACACGGUCCAGACUCCUACGGGAGGAAGCAGUAGGGAAUCUUCCGCAAUGGGCGAAAGCCUGACGGAGCAACGCCGCGUGAGUGAUGAAGGUCUUCGGAUCGUAAAACUCUGUUAUUAGGGAAGAACAAAUGUGUAAGUAACUAUGCACGUCUUGACGGUACCUAAUCAGAAAGCCACGGCUAACUACGCG
rnacentral:rRNA from 1 species